rnacentral:rRNA from 1 species
UACGUAGGGAGCAAGCGUUGUCCGGAAUCAUUGGGCGUAAAGCGCGCGUAGGUGGCCCUGUAAGUCCGUUGUGAAAGUCAAAGGCUCAACCUUUGAAAGCCGAUGGAUACUGCAGGGCUAGAGUACGGAAGAGGCGAGUGGAAUUCCUGGUGUAGCGGUGAAAUGCGCAGAUAUCAGGAGGAACACCGGUGGCGAAGGCGGGUCUCUGGGCCGAUACUGACGCUGAGGAGCGAAAGCGUGGGGAGCAAACAGG